GACGAACGCUGGCGGCGUGCCUAAUACAUGCAAGUGGGACGCAAGAGAACACACUGUGCUUGCACACCGUGUUUUCUUGAGUCGCGAACGGGUGAGUAACGCGUAGGUAACCUGCCUAUUAGCGGGGGAUAACUAUUGGAAACGAUAGCUAAUACCGCAUAAUAUUAAUUAUUGCAUGAUAAUUGAUUGAAAGAUGCAAGCGCAUCACUAGUAGAUGGACCUGCGUUGUAUUAGCUAGUUGGUAAGGUAAGAGCUUACCAAGGCGACGAUACAUAGCCGACCUGAGAGGGUGAUCGGCCACACUGGGACUGAGACACGGCCCAGACUCCUACGGGAGGCAGCAGUAGGGAAUCUUCGGCAAUGGACGAAAGUCUGACCGAGCAACGCCGCGUGAGUGAAGAAGGUUUUCGGAUCGUAAAGC
rnacentral:rRNA from 1 species